rnacentral:lncRNA from 1 species
GCAGUUCCAGAUAUGCAGGUUGGAAUCUGGCUAACAUCUAACAUCUGAUUUUGGUUGUCUUUAAUUUGUAUCAUUGUGUUCAUGUAUCCUGCUUUGAAAAUUAAUUACUGAGAAUCCACCAUAAUCAGUAUUUUAGAAUCCAGGUUUCAGUCAACCGAUAUGGCGAAGGAAUAUUUCAUUCGUUUGGAGCUACUGAAUAGCUUAACCCAAGCAACAAAAGGGUGGUGCUUAUUAGUGUCUAAAAAGGGAUCUUUGGUAUAUAUGAUUUUAGAUUAGGUUAAAUUUGACAUAAGAAUAGUCACAUUUAUCAGGUACAUGAACUCACUUGAACUUAAAAGACAGUCUUAAGUUAAUUUUUGGAUAGUGCAUGAAUACAUUUAUUCGACAUCUGUAUGCAGUGAUAAGGAUGGAAUUCAAAAGCCAAACCUAAACAUGUAUAAAUAGCUCCCUCUUGCUUCUUUUAUAAUCUCAACUAAUCACUGUUACUGUAAAAAUCACAAGAGUGUUUUUGUACAUUUACAAGAAAGGAGAAUUGUGAGAUGGAGAGAAAGAGCUGUUGUUCAGGAAGGAGUUGCUGCCCGUCAACUCAAGCUCUGAGGCCUGCGGUUACUCUUACUCCAAAGAAAGAGCCUGUGGUGACGGUGAAGACGCCAAAAGCUGAAGAUGUGAAGACUGAAGUAAUCAAGGAAGUUGAAGGUCAUCAU